GAUGAACGCUAGCUACAGGCUUAACACAUGCAAGUCGAGGGGAAACGGCAUCGAAAGCUUGCUUUUGAUGGGCGUCGACCGGCGCACGGGUGAGUAACGCGUAUCCAACCUGCCCAUCACUUGGGAAUAACCUUGCGAAAGUAAGACUAAUGCCCAAUGACAUCCCACGAAGGCAUCCGAAUGGGAUUAAAGAUUUAUCGGUGAUGGAUGGGGAUGCGUCUGAUUAGCUUGUUGGCGGGGUGACGGCCCACCAAGGCAACGAUCAGUAGGGGUUCUGAGAGGAAGGUCCCCCACAUUGGAACUGAGACACGGUCCAAACUCCUACGGGAGGCAGCAGUGAGGAAUAUUGGUCAAUGGGCGAGAGCCUGAACCAGCCGAGUAGCGUGCAGGAUGACGGCCCUAUGGGUUGUAAACUGCUUUUAUAAGGGAAUAAAGUGGGUCACGUGUGACUUUUUGCAUGUACCUUAUGAAUAAGGACCGGCUAAUUCCGUG
rnacentral:rRNA from 1 species